rnacentral:rRNA from 1 species
UACGUAGGGGGGCGAGCGUUGUCCGGAUUUAUUGGGCGUAAAGAGCGUGUAGGCGGCCAGGUAGGUCUGCUGUGAAAACUCGAGGCUCAACCUCGAGACGUCGGCGGAAACCAUCUGGCUAGAGUCCGGAAGAGGAGAGUGGAAUUCCUGGUGUAGCGGUGAAAUGCGCAGAUAUCAGGAAGAACACCCGUGGCGAAGGCGGCUUCCUGGGACGGUACUGACGCUGAGACGCGAAAGCGUGGGGAGCGAACAGG